GAGUGUGAAGGCAAUUUGGGUGUCACAUUUUUCAUGCCAGUUGAUUUGGCUACCUUUGCUACCUAGGAGACUGUGUCCUUCAGCAGGACAUUCACAGCUCUGUGUGUGUCCCUCCUGAAGUCUCAAUCCUAGUCAAGGGGGAAACUUCCUGAUGGAAGAACAUUAUUCUUCUGCCUCUUCUGUCAUGUAAAUGAGGUCCCCUUCUACAACCUCCAAACAUAUUCUCCAGGUCAAAAUCAAUGAUUCCAUUUCAUGAACAUAUUAACAUUAUUCAAAAUAUAACAUUGUUAUUAUCU
rnacentral:snRNA from 1 species